UGAAUACGAGACGCUAAGGCGUUGAAGUAGUGUAUGUCAUACUUCCAAGAAAAGCUUGCACUAUCAUAGAUAAAAAACGCCUGUACCAUAACCGACACAGGUGGGUAGGUAGAGUAUACUAAGGGGCGCGAGAUAACUCUCUCUAAGGAACUCGGCAAAAUAACUCCGUAACUUCGGGAGAAGGAGUGCCUUAUUUAUAAGGCUGCAAUAACAAGAUCCAAGCAUCUGUUUAUCAAAAACACAGGUCUCCGCUAAGUCGUAAGACGAUGUAUGGGGGCUGACGCCUGCCCAGUGCCAGAAGGUUAAAGAAGUUGGUUAGCAAUAGCGAAGCUGAUAACUGAAGCCCUGGUGAACGGCGGCCGUAACGAUAACGGUCCUAAGGUAGCGAAAUUCCUUGUCGGGUAAGUUCCGACCCGCACGAAAGGCGUAAUGAUUUGGAUACUGUCUCGGAGAGGGGCUCGGUGAAAUAGACUUGUCUGUGAAGAUGCGGACUACCUGCACCAGGACAGAAAGACCCUAUGAAGCUUUACUGUAACUUGAAAUUGAAAUUGGACUUUAUUCGCGCAGUAUAGGUGGGAGGCGUUGAUUGUAAUCUUGCGGGAUUAUUGGAGCCAUCAGUGAGAUACCACCCUUGUAAUGUUAGAUUUCUAACUUUGAAUCAUUAUCUGGUCAAAGAACAGUUUCAGGCGGGCAGUUUGACUGGGGCGGUCGCCUCCUAAACGGUAACGGAGGCGUACAAAGGUUUCCUCUGAACGGUUAGAAAUCGUAUCUAGAGUGUAAAGGCAUAAGGAAGCUUGACUGUGAGACCUACAAGUCGAGCAGGGACGAAAGUCGGUCUUAGUGAUCUGACGGUACUGAGUGGAAAGGCCGUCACUCAACGGAUAAAAGUUACUCUAGGAUAACAGGCUGAUCUCCCCCAAGAGUUCACAUCGACGGGGAGGUUUGGCACCUCGAUGUCGGCUCAUCGCAUCCUGGGGCGGUAGUACGUCCCAAGGGUUGGGCUGUUCGCCCAUGAAAGCGGUACGCGAGCUGGGUUCAGAACGUCGUGAGACAGUUCGGUCCAUAUCCGGUGUAGGCGUUAGAAUAUUGAGAGGAGCCUUCUUUAGUACGAGAGGACCGAGAAGGACAUACCUCUGGUGUACCAGUUAUCGUGCCAACGGUAAACGCUGGGUAGCUAUGUAUGGAGUGGAUAACCGCUGAAAGCAUCUAAGUGGGAAGCCCACCUCAAGAUAAGUAUUCUCAUC
rnacentral:rRNA from 1 species